GAGUUUGAUCCUGGUUCAGAUUGAACGCUAGCGGGAUGCUUUACACAUGCAAGUCGAACGGCAGCACGAGAGAGCUUGCUCUCUUGGUGGCGAGUGGCGGACGGGUGAGUAAUAUAUCGGAACGUGCCUAGUAGCGGGGGAUAACUACUCGAAAGAGUGGCUAAUACCGCAUACGCCCUACGGGGGAAAGGGGGGGAUCGCAAGACCUCUCACUAUUAGAGCGGCCGAUAUCGGAUUAGCUAGUUGGUGGGGUAAAGGCUCACCAAGGCAACGAUCCGUAGCUGGUUUGAGAGGGCGACCAGCCACACUGGGACUGAGACACGGCCCAGACUCCUACGGGAGGCAGCAGUGGGGAAUUUUGGACAAUGGGGGAAACCCUGAUCCAGCCAUCCCGCGUGUAUGAUGAAGGCCUUCGGGUUGUAAAGUACUUUUGGCAGAGAAGAAAAGGUACCUCCUAAUACGAGGUACUGCUGACGGUAUCUGCAGAAUAAGCACCGGCUAACUACGUGCCAGCAGCCGCGGUAAUAC
rnacentral:rRNA from 1 species